GGUUGUUCUUGGGUGACACACCCUGGAACCAGAGAAGAGGGAGCCUGAUUCCAGGGUGUGUCACCUGAGAACUGCC
rfam:Myotis davidii contig7843, whole genome shotgun sequence.